rnacentral:rRNA from 1 species
CCUACGGGAGGCUGCAGUGGGGAAUAUUGCACAAUGGGCACAAGCCUGAUGCAGCCAUGCCGCGUGUGUGAAGAAGGCCUUCGGGUUGUAAAGCACUUUCAGCGGGGAGGAAGGCGGUGAGGUUAAUAACCUCAUCGAUUGACGUUACCCGCAGAAGAAGCACCGGCUAACUCCGUGCCAGCAGCCGCGGUAAUACGGAGGGUGCAAGCGUUAAUCGGAAUUACUGGGCGUAAAGCGCACGCAGGCGGUCUGUCAAGUCGGAUGUGAAAUCCCCGGGCUCAACCUGGGAGCUGCAUUCGAAACUGGCAGGCUAGAGUCUUGUAGAGGGGGGUAGAAUUCCAGGUGUAGCGGUGAAAUGCGUAGAGAUCUGGAGGAAUACCGGUGGCGAAGGCGGCCCCCUGGACAAAGACUGACGCUCAGGUGCGAAAGCGUGGGGAGCAAACAGGAUUAGAUACCCCUGUAGUC